GAUGAAGAACGUAGUGAAAUGCGAUAAGUAAUGUGAAUUGCAGAAUUCAGUGAAUCAUCGAAUCUUUGAACGCACAUUGCGCCCAUUAGUAUUCUAGUGGGCAUGCCUGUUCGAGCGUCAUUUCAACCCUUAAGCCUCUGUUGCUUAGCGUUGGGAGCCUACCUACCCGGUAGAUCCUCAAAGUUAGCUGGCAGGGUCGAGGUUCGCCCUAAGCGUAGUAGUUCUUUCUCGCUUCUGCGGCUGCCUAGGCCAUCGCCACAAGCCUUUUAAACUUCAAUGGUUGACCUCGGAUCAGGUAGGAAUACCCGCUGAACUUAAGCAUAUCAAUAAGCGGAGGA
rnacentral:misc_RNA from 1 species